AAAAAUAAACCACGCCGCCGUAUUAUAAAUACCUUUCCUAUCCUUAAUAUUUAUUUCAUUCCUACAACGUACAAGUCAAUGCGGUCGCGUUUGCCAAAAUAAACUUUUACAGUCCCAAGCCAAUAGAAGUCAACCGCAAACUACUGCGCGUGUGACUGCACCAUUCGUUGACUGCCUGACUGCACCUGUUGCAUAACUUUCUCGUGCCGUUUGCGAUGGACAUUCCUAUCCCGCAAUGGAUAAGCUUCCUGUUUACCUUAUGUCGUCAGCGUCAGCGUUCAGCGUCAGUAAAAUAGGCGACGAAGAAGUAUUCUUAUUUAAAUGCAGACACUCACUGACGGUUAUAAUAAUGGUUGCGGUACUGGUGGUAAGAAUGGCGAUGGCGUUGACAGCUAAACGAUCAUUAUAGCAUAGCUGCACCUUUCUUCUAAGGGCAGAUUUAAUAGUCAUCAUCACUCCAUAGAGACAAUGUGCUGUUGAA